GUACUAUACGAAUUUCCUGUCCUCUCCAGAGGGGUAUUUCCACACGGUGAUCUGCAACAGUCGCGAGUUCCGGAACACGACGGUGAACCACGACCUCCACUACAUCACCUGGGACAAUCCUCCAAAGCAGCAUCCACUCUCGUUAACCGUCAAGGACUUUGACAACAUGAACGCGAGCGGCAGCCCGUUUGGGAGGAAGUUUGACAAGGACGAUCCGGUGCUGGACAUGAUCGACAGCCGGCUGCUGGGGCGGGAGAAGGACCGAUUCACUCCUGGUGGAUGGUGCCUGGGCUCGUCGGAAAAUGGGAAUGAUCCUUGCUCGGUUAUGGGUGAUGCUGACGUUCUGCGGCCUAGUGCAGGAGCAAAGAGACUCGAGAGCCUGGUUUUGAAGUUAUUGGCCCCCGAGGACUUCCGGAAGAACCAAUGCGUCCAUUGAUGGAUGUGAUUGGCGAGCGACGAUGACAACAACAGCAUAUUUUCUCUAUCAGCUGGGGUGGCUGUAAUAUACAGGUCUCAAGUAGGAGGUAGGCUCAUAUAAUUUUUCAGGAGGAAAUUUUUUUUUGUCGGAAAACUUCUUGGGGGGUAACAAGGCUGUUAUUCUUUUCUUUGCUUUGCUCUUGUAGUUCUAAAAGCUCUUGCGUUUGAUUCUCACUGCAGUCCUGUGCUUGGCCUUGUAGUCCAAGCUCAGCUUGUCUUUGGACGCCAGCCAUUCUUCUUCGGCGGCAGGGGACCUCAUGAACGAGCAAGUCUUUUUCUCCAGGAGAGCUUUCACGGAUGGCCGAAGCUGCUGGUGCUGUGAGCUCUCGGUAACGUCGUUGCUAGUACUCUUUGAGGUACUGACCGGCAGUGAUGUUCCUGUAGUGACUUUGGCUCGUUGGUCGUCAGAAUUAUCACCUUUCUUCUUGAUGUUUGGCACUAAACUUGCCGAACUAUUGGAUUCCUGUGGUUCGGCUCCUGCUAUCGUUGACAAAGAGAAUGUCGCACCGCUGCCAUCUCCAACCAGAGAUUUCCACGAGCUAAACCGGACCCAGCUCUGAUCUUUUUGUUUUUCCUGCUGCUGCUUUCUAUCAACUUGGUCAUCCUUUCUCUCAGGUCCAUUUUCGCUUCCUUCGAGAGCUUCUUUAGAGCUUCCAUCAGCUUUGUCCGACCGGCUCUUUUUGUUCGAGUGACGAGCAGCUCGGUCUCCAGAUUUGUGCUUCUUUGCAUCUGGAAUUGUAACUUGCUCGUCUUCGAGAGCUUCGCUAACUCCGGUUCCAAAUAAAUUAUCCCCUUUCGUAGCGUUGGCUUCGGUCUACAAACAAAAAGGAACUCACUCGAUAGUCGUCAAAGAGAUAAACGCAAACGUACCUUUCUUCUUUCUUUCAGCAUGCCACCCUCUUCGUCAAGUCCUUCCUCGUCGCAUUCUUCUCUCGUAAGAACUUUCUUGCUACUUGUAGCGCUCUUUGUGUCUCGAGACGACCACCUCACGCGGUUAAUUUUCUUUGUUUCGUGAGAGCUUCCAUCAACCUUUCCCGAACUAUUCUGAUCAACCUGGAUAUGUUCCAAUUCCUCUUCCACGUCCUGUUCUUCAAAGGAGUCCUCAGAGAGCUCUUCGUUCUCUCUCAGUCCAGCCGCGGCUUCAAACAAAGUAUCCCACUUUGUAUCGUUGGUUUCAACCUUGGCCUGCGAGAAAGACCAACGCGAUGAGACUGACAGAAGAAAACAUCGUACCUUUCUCUUUUUUAUCAGCCCCGGGAGAACAACGCCAUCCUCUUCGUCGAGUUCUUCCUCCUCGCUUUCAUUUUCCAUAAGAACUUUGUCAUUGUCCUCCUUGUCACUUGUAAUGUUCUUUUCCUCUUUGGAGUUUGAUGCUUUCACGCCACUCGUCUUGUCCUCUUUCUUGUUCUUCUCUCUGAGUAAGUCAUCUUCGUCUGGAACGAAAGCAUUCACGUCGCCUUCCAUUCUUUUUACCUCGAUUUGCUUGCCUUUCUUAGUCUCACGGGGAAGUUUGCUGCUCGGAUCCCCCUUUUGUUUCUCUUUUUUCUUUCUCUCGCUAUUGCUCGUCUCGGCUAUGGAGCUUGACCCCAAGUUGCUUCCAGCCGCCUCCACCUCUCGGCUCGAUCCGUUCUCAUCCAAACGCUUGGAUUCCAAUUUUUCCACAAGCCUCAAGUAGCCACUGUGCUCAAACUCGAAAGGAUCGGUGGCCUCUUGAUCUUGGUGUUCUCCGCAGCUACACAGUCCGAGCAAAGCGAGAGGAUGGCUGGCGCAGCGCUCAAAACUCCGUUUGUGUUUACCUCCACUCACAACUUUCACCUGGAAGAUCACUGCUCAAACUAGAACUAAAGAAAAACCAGAAGCUCGUCACCUUUCGUGAUCGCGGGAAAAAAAUUUUAAGCGCCCGCGUCGCUGGAACAAUCGGCAUUUUCGGCCGCUCUUUCUGCUCGCCAUCCUUCUUUUGGUCCUCCCUUCCGGCGGCCCAUUCUCGUUCCAAUCGCUGAAGAUAGUGCUCUUUGGCCAAUUCCACGCGAAGGCAUCCUCCCUUCCACUUACAGCCUUUGUACUGCGGUACAAAAAUUUCGUUUUUCAUCGAUCGGCAUCGCAUCAAUCAAUACGAUGAAAAUACUUACAGUGCUGAAGACCUUACGGAGCGCCGCGGGCGACGAAGCCACGAAAUCGAUGUAGGCGAAAUCGCGAUCGCCGCUGCGGAUCAUCUCCACGGCGCGCACGGCGCCCAGUGAUCCAAACGCGCGCUCCAGAUCCUGCGCAGCCACGGACGCGCCCAGGCCGCCCACAAAGAGCCUCACUUCCUCUCCCAUUUGCCCCAUAAACCCUAAAAUUGCUAAACCCUCUAUUAUUACCUUUUUGAUUCCAUAAACCCUAAACCAGAGAGAUAGGGUUUAUGGACAUGGCCUCACUCCAAUGCGCGGGAGCGGGGGCUCUGGCCCUGUGGCAACGCCAGCAUUCCUCCGGUAAGCGCUGCUCGAUCGGGAGGCAAUAUGGCAGGCGCUGCUCGAUCGCGGUGUCGAUUGCGCAGCGCGGAUGGUGCCAAAGAGCCGGGAAUCCCAGAUCCGGGGCUUGGCGGGCAAUGGCGUCGGAUUCGCAAGCGGAGGACGAAGAACAGGAAGACGCCUUGCUAAGCGACGAAGAAGAGGAGACUGAGGAGGAGGAUGAGGAGGUAAAAUUUUCUCUUUCGAGCUCGAAAAGAACUUGAGUUUCAUUCUUGCAGGACAAUGUUGACGUGGAUGUUCUUAGCAACGAGGAAAUCGAUGCGUUGAUGAAAGAGUAUGGGAAUGUUGUGCGAUCGGAUCCAGAGCCUCGAAAAUCAUCUGCCGAAGAUGCUAAUGCGGAUGCCGAGGCUCUCUCCAGUAAGUUCCAUUCUUUCUUUUCCUCGUUUCUAUGGUUUGGCCUGAUAUCUUGUGUUUUGCGUAGUGCAGUGGCUACUGCUCUAGCUACAGCUGCCAACGAAGUUAAAGCGGUGGAUAUCAAGCUCUUUCACGUCAAACCUCUGAUAUACUGGGCUCGCUACUUUUUAAUCGCUUCAGCGUUUUCUAUGCCUCAAGUCAAUGCUAUAGUGUAAGCCUGCCAUCGUUUCUUUCUAUGAUCUUACCAGGUACGGUUUCUAAAAUCUGCAGUGGAAGAAUAGAAGACAUCGCCCAAGAACAGUACGGGAAAAUUCCAAGACCAAGCGGAAAGCCCUCGGGCUGGACACUCAUGGAUUUCGGUGAGCGUCUUUUAAUAUUCUUCUCUGUGUGUGUGUGUGUUACUGCCAGAUAUUUACACUGCUGGUACUGAUCGAAAAGUCUCUGCCCUUCGCAGGUGAUGUCGUUGUGCACAUCUUUCUACCAUCGCAGCGAGAAUUCUACAACUUGGAAGAGUUUUAUGCGAACGCUCCUCUAGUGGAGCUGCCUUUUGUCUCGGAAAGCAGUAGCAGCAGCACAGCCAGGUCAGAUGCCGAGGGAGAGAGCGAAGAGGAGAUGAUCUCUUUGAGCUAAGUAAGUUCUCUCAGUUUGUAUCGAGGAGGAAGUUGAAAAGUUCUAACGCUGCUUUCCACAGAUCAAGUCGAGUGCGAAGAUGGCCCGCUUGUGUUUGACAAAUUCAAGAGAGAUGAGGGGAACAGUGAAGCGCUGAUGAUGGUGGUGAUGAUCUCUUUGAGCUAAAUGACGUAAGUUUUUCUCCAUAGUUUUGUUUUGGGUCCUUCGAAGGAGGUAUUCAAGACUGAUCGAUGCGUCCUUCUCUUGGGUGGAUUCUUUUUAAAGGAUUCUUCCUUUUGGUCGCAGGGCCAGCGUCUAGAACAAAGAGACGAAGGAGAAAAGAAAGGCUUGUAACCAUUUUUCUAAUGUGUGAGUGCGUGCCGUCAGUCAAAAAAGAAGUGUUGGAACAUUGACGCGGCUGGCCAGCCAGUCAAGCGCGCACACGUGGCAGAAUAUGGGGCUUCCAUCUUGCCUCGGAUCGACGGCCGAUACGCUUGCGGUCCACCACACAAUUCAUUCCUUUCAUUCAUUCUCGUAAAGUAAUGUCCUCGCAUUUUCUUCGCUAAAGCUGUUCUACAUUUUCUAGGGCUGGGCAAGAGGCAGGGCGAGGCGCACGGGUCGAUCGAGCUACGGGAGCUCUCUUCGCGGGCGCCGGGAGCUCUCCCGCGGGCAAUGCAGUGUUCUUGAAAUUGAGGUAGGGUUUUGCGGCAGCCGGGAGCUUCCGGGUGGGAAAUUUCGGCUCGCGCGACGCUGGAAGUCCAGGAUGAGGCGCUGGAGGGAUUGCUAGGAUGGACAGCUCCUCGGACUGGAUAACGUGAGGUGAAAAUGCGGGGAAAUUUGUGAUGCUGCUCGAGGAGUAAGCGGGAAGAUCCAGCAGGAGAUAGCAUGAGGUGCCUGGAGUAGUGGAAGGAGGGGGAAGAAAUGUUGAACAAGGGGCUGUUUGGAUGGUCUCCACCUCACAUCCAGCCACUGACGCCAGUGUCCGAGGUCUCGGAGCCGCCAGAGUCGCCUUCGCCUUACUUGGAUGCUGGGGGUGAUGCUAUACCCGUGGAUGACGAUGUUCUAGAGGAUGAAGAGGACAUAGAUUUCUCCCCAGUGGCAGUCUCGUUUUUCAAGCUGUUCGUGUAUGCUGGAACUUGGGACUGGGUGCUUAUGAUCCUUGGGACACUCGCAUCGGCUGUUCACGGUGCUGCGCUGCCGGUUUACCUCCACUUCUUUGGGAAAAUCCUCAAUUGCUACCGGCACAGAACGAGUCAAGCGCGAGUAUACGAUGAUCUCACGCAGGUUAGUACCAGUUCUUUGCGACUUUGCCUUUUUCUUUUCCUUCUUUCUAUGCUCACGCAAUUCUUUCUUUCUUAUAGUAUGUCCUGGAUAUUCUCUACAUUGCGGGAGCUGUUUUGCUGGCUGGAUGGAUACGUAAGUGUCGUGCGUUGUUCUUUGAAAUGAUGGUGAUCGCUUUUGUCAUGUUUCUACCGCAGAGGUCUCUUGCUGGCUCUUGACUGCGGAGAGGCAAUCUUCUGUAAUGCGGUCAAAAUAUCUGCAAGUUUUGCUCAAUCAAGACAUGGGGUUUUUUGAGAGUUAUGCAAGCAAUGGAGAUAUUGUGAGCCAAGUUUCGAACGAUGUUCUGUUUAUCCAGUAUACUAUUGGGGAAAAGGUAUGCAUUAUGAGUCUCCAUCUCUAACAGCUAGGCUUAUACUUUUUCUAACAGGUCAGCCAUUAUGUGCAUAACAUGGCUACAUUCGUCGGGGGUCUUGUAGUAGGAUUUUUGAACUGCUGGCAGAUAGCUCUCUUGACGCUAGCGACUGGACCUUUAAUAGUUGUUGCUGGAGCCAUCUCCAACAUUUUCUUGCAUAAGCUUGCUGAAAGCGUUCAAGAUGCCUACUCUGAAGCUGCGAGUAUCGCUGAACAGGUGUGUCAUCAAUCACGUUCUCUUUUAAACAUAAAAGUGUUUUUCUUUUUUGUGCUCAGGCUAUUGCAUAUGUCCGAACUAUAUAUGCUUUUGCGAAUGAAACUUUGGUGAAGCACUUGUAUGCAAGCGCUCUUCAGACUACACUUGGAUAUGGCGUUCAAAUCAGUCUUGUCCAAGGCGUUGGUCUUGGCUUUAUCUACGGUCUAGCUAUCUGUUCUUGCGCUCUUCAAUUGUGGUUUGGUCGAAUACUUGUUGGAAAAGGAGAUGCCAACGGUGGUGAAGUUAUCGUGGCAGCAUUCGCAAUCAUUUUAAGCGGACUGUAAGCUAAAAGAUUCUCUCUUGCUUCUAGUAUCCUACUUACGUGCCGAUGCAGAGGGUUGAACCAGGCAGCAACAAAUUUCCCGGCUUUUGAACAGAGCAAGAUUGCAGCUUAUAGACUCUAUGACGUGAUUGAAAGGACAAUCGCUAACACUCAACAGGGAAAUAUUCUUGCUAACGUUCAAGGAAGUUUGGAGCUCAAGCAUGUCUAUUUCAGCUAUCCUUCGCGCCCCGAUGUACCCAUAUUGAGUGGCUUGUAUCUCCAAGUAGCUCCAAAGAAAACCAUGGCUUUGGUUGGAAGCAAUGGUGCUGGGAAAAGUAGCAUUCUAUCACUAAUUCUUCGCUUUUAUGAUCCAACUUUAGGUGAGGCUAUCACAUAUUCUCCAUGGUUCUGAUCGUGAUUGUGCAGGCGAGGUGCUUUUGGACGGUGAAAACGUACGAAACCUUCAAAUGACGUGGCUUAGAAGUCAGAUUGGGUUAGUGAGUCCCGAGCCUGCGCUGCUUGCGUCUAGCAUCAAAGACAACAUUCUUUACGGCCGAUCAAACGCAAGCAUGGAUGACGUCGAGGAGGCUGCGAAGACUGCUCAUGCUCAUGCAUUUAUCAGCUCGCUACCUUUCGGAUACAAUACACUGGUGAGAUUUUUAGUUGUGCCUGACUUUCUGGAAGUGAAUAAUAUCUGCAGCUUGGCGAUGGAGGGAUAACUUUGUCAGAAGAAAUGAAGCUAAAGCUAGCCAUCGCUAGAGCCGUCUUAAAGAAUCCACCCAUCCUACUACUUGACGAAGCUACCAGUAAUCUUGAUCCACAGGCCGAACGGAACGUGCAAGAGGCCCUUGACAUACUGAUACUUGGUCGGACGACACUCGUAAUCGCUCACCGCCUGGCUAAUAUCCGAAAUGUGGAUGUAAUCGCUGUUAUUGAAGAAGGCCAGCUUGUUGAGCUUGGUACUCACGAUGAAUUGAUGGCUGCCGAUGGAACGUACGCAGAACUAAUUCGCCUUGAGGAGACGGCAAGAGUUGUUCCUUGGUAAGAAUCUUGCUGCCAUCAUCUUCUAAGCUAACGUUUCAUUUCCAGGAACAAGAAAAGCUUCAGAGAAACAGCUCAUACCUCCUCUCCUCGAUUGAUACGCUCUUCUUCCGUCGCGGCGCAGAAUGGACAACGCUACGCGGAGUUUAGUAGCGUUCACAGCUCACCGCCUCAAAUUCCAAGUCCAUCAUCUGAAGACAAAGACUCCGUAACGUUUGGCAGCGGAACGGCGGAAGGAGAAAAAAAUCCGCAACACCCGCCACCGCUGGAUAUUCACAACUUCCAACAAAUACCUUUCAAGUCUGAUCCGGAAUCUCCCGUGUCGCCACUCCUGACAUCUGACCCCAAGAACGAGAGAUCUCACUCGAAGACAUUCAGCAGAUCCAUCUCGCAGCUGGUAGAACUGGAAUCGACGAGCAUUAUCCCCGAGACUCCUGGGAACAAUGAGAAGCCAAGCUACUGGAGGCUCAUACAACUGAGUGGACCUGAAUGGUGUUAUGCCUUUGUCGGAAGCAUCGGUGCGGCGUUUUUUGGCUCCUUCAAUCCGUUAAUGGCCCUUUUCGUCGUUCAAACUGCUCAGUACUACUAUCACGCGCAGGACCACCGCAGUAAACGUGAGAUAAACAAGUGGUGCUUGCUUGUGACUGGUAUGGGAUUAGCGACGGUUUUCGUCAACUUCCUGCAACACUUUUACUUCGGCAUCAUGGGAGAAAAAAUGACUGAACGAGUUCGAAGGCUAAUGUUCUCAGGUACUUACCUCUCAACCAUCCUAGAGCAUUUGAGUAAACUUAUUGUUGUGCAUCUGUCGCAGCAAUUUUACGCAACGAGAUCGGGUGGUUUGAUCAAGACGAUAAUAGUACCGAGGCCCUGUCGAUUCAGCUGGCGAAUGAUGCUACUUUUGUUCGGGCAGCCUUUAGCAACCGGCUCUCAAUUAUCAUCCAAGACACCGCUGCUGUUGUCGUGACUGUUUUAUUGACGACCUUGCUCCAGUGGCGUUUGGGAACAGUUGCAAUUGCUACCAUUCCUCUGCUUAUAGUCUCAGCUAUUUUCCAGGUACGCCAUCACUUUCUGUUUGUGAACGUUUCUUAUUUACAGAUUGCUGCAGAAAAUGUGGGUGAUGGGAUUUUCUGGGAACAUUAGAGAGUGGCAUACGAAAGCUUCCGUAGUCAUUGAGGACGCAGUCAGGAAUAUAUGCACCAUCGCAUCCUUCUCUGCUGGAGAUAAAGUCGUUCAGCUGUACAAGAACCAACUCGCGAGACUCCAGGCCCGAAGUUUUAUCCGUGGUCAGGUCACAGGGAUCGCCUUCGGCAUUUCUCAGUUCCUUUUGUUUGCAUCCAACGCUUUCGUUCUCUGGUACGGGACCGAGAUACUGAAAAGGCACGACGGGAGGCUCAGCGAAGUCUUGAAGGCAUUCACCGUGUUCUCGUUCGCAACGUUUGCGCUGGUGGAGCCUUUCUGUCUGGCACCUUACAUCCUCAAGAGACGGGAAUCACUGAGGCCCGUGUUUCAGAUAAUUGACAGGAAACCAACAAUCGAGUCCGACGAUGGUGACGGCCUGAAGCUUCCAAACAUCUUUGGUACCAUAGAGUUUCGUGGCGUCGAGUUCAGAUAUCCGACGAGGCCAGACGCAGUUAUACUCAACGAUUUCAAUCUCAAGGCAACGGGUGGACAGACGGUGGCAGUCGUGGGACUCUCAGGAUCCGGCAAGAGCACAGUCAUCUCUCUGAUCGAGCGGUUUUACGACCCCGUAGCCGGCUCGGUGACACUGGACGGAAAGGACCUCAAGGCUUUCAACCUGCGGUGGCUUCGCAGCAACAUGGGCCUGGUACAGCAAGAGCCGGUUCUAUUCUCCACCACCAUUCGAGAGAAUAUCAUCUACGCCAAGCGCAACGCAACCGAGGCCGAGAUGAAGGAGGCUGCCCGAAUAGCAAACGCUCACCAGUUUAUCAGCGGGCUGCCUCACGGAUACGACACGCACAUCGGCAUGCGAGGGGUGGAGCUCACCGCCGGACAGAAGCAACGAAUCGCCAUCGCGAGAGUUGUGCUCAAGAACGCUCCCAUCUUGCUGCUGGACGAGGCAAGCUCCGCGGUGGAGAGUGAGUCGAGCCGGGUGGUACAGGAGGCGUUGGACACGCUCAUUCUGGGGAACAAGACCACCAUCGUUAUAGCUCACAGGAUUGCGAUGCUCAAGCGGGUGGACAAAGUGGCGGUGCUUCACGACGGCCGGAUUGUGGAAGAAGGAGCUCACAACGUUCUCAUGGAAAGAGGCGGCCUCUACUCGCGGUUUAUCAUGUCACACAUGUCCAAGCCGAUGAGGCAGCACACGGUUUCCAGCUACGGUGGUUAAUCGAUCGGUUCUUCCCGGGGGCGCGAGAGAAGUUUUCCAGGAACUCGGGAGGAAAAAGAAGAGGGGACGCGACGCUGUACAUAAGGAAAGAAAGAAGAACGAACGAGACAACGAAGAACAACGAGAACGAACGAGACAACGAGAUUCCAGCGAAAGCUUUCAAGAAAAAAAAAAAGAACUGUAAGAUACUCCAAUUUUUUUGACUAUACUGGUACUAGCUUUCACUUCUUAGAGCUGUGUUUUUUGGGCAUUUACGAGCUGACCUUCCAGGGAAAUAAUAAUCGAUUGGCAUUGUUUUUCACAGUGUGAUCUUUAAGAAGAAAACAGGCCGAGACAAUGAAGCUUUGAUAAGAUAGAUACGAAGACAAAGCUUUGCGAUCUCUUGAUUAUAUAGACGAAGGCUGUGAUAAGUUGUCACAGUAAGGAGAACUUGUGAUAGCUCCAAAAAAAGUUAUUUGAUCCGCGAAACGCUACAAAAGGUUAUAAACGUCUGCCAACAAAACGCCGCUAUCGCGCUUAAUACGUAGCUUGUUGGUAUGUACAUACGUCUAGAGAUAACAAUUUAUAGAGGUGUUGGGAGCUCCUAUGCCAACCAGCAAUUGCCAGAUUUUGCUCUGGCGUUUGGGCCACAUGGGCCAUAAUCGUGGUGGUCAGUAUGCACGAAUCAUACAUACGCAAUACAAACCCAUGGGCCCAUCACUGCCAGCCUGGACCUACGGCGCGAUAAAUUCUCUCCCUCGUACGGUACCGCGCUGUGACGUGGCAUGGCAUUGUCCGUCGGAUGAGGGCAUGAACGGGUCCGAUAUGACGCCGCAAGUUUCACCGUGUGCAUAAAACGUGGUUUUUUAUCACUCUUUCACCGCGCGGUAAAAAGCGAGAGGGAGGGAAGAGAGGAGAGAGGCAAUAUUUCUUCGAUUCGCGCGAGGGCGAGAGGGUAAAUCAGGGUUCUUCCUCUGGCGCGCCCGAUCUGCGCCGCGACGAUAGCUGCGGAUUUGUGGUAAGAUCGAGCUACAUUCUUGGCCGGGCGAUGCUUGCGAGUAGAUCGAGCUGCGGCGCGUCGCGGCGGAUUCGGCUGGAAGAAUGCUGUAGCUUAAGCGCUAAAUGUGGAUUCUAGGUGAGGAUACAAGGCAAAGGGAUGGAUCCUGAGCUUCGACGCUACUGCUGGGCUCGGGGGAUUUAUAGAACUGGAUAGAUUGUGGAUAGAGGUUACCUACAUUGUCUUCUCGGGGCAUUUCCAGGCGCUCGAGAGGAUGUCAGUAUGAUCUUUGAUUGGUGGAAGCUGGGAUUGGUCGAUUGGAGGUGCAAUGGCGUCGCUGCUGUGGAUUCUUUCGCUCUUGUCGGGAUGUUUAUGGGCUCAAGCUCAGGUUCCAGUGCUUACGAGAGCACCGGCGCUCGUGACUGCUCAAAGGAAUGCCACCUUUGAGUUCAUGGUAAAGAAUGCCUCGGGAGGAAACGAUGCUUGCAGUGACUGUGCUAUUCAAUGCAAGGUACUGUAUCGGAUCCUUUGUUUUUCUUUGUGUUUGUUUUUUCUUUCUAUCUCGUUUCUUAAAGUUUGCUGUUUGAUGCGCAGCUGGAUGGAUCGCCAUUUCACGAUUGCGCUUCUCGCGGAGAUUCUUACUCGAGUUUAAUAGAUGGCGAUCACGUUUUUGAAGUUUCGAUACAGACGGUCAAUUCUUCAGUAUCCGUGAGCUACAAUUGGACUGUCGGUCAGUUUUCCCCAGCUUUCUCGGUUUUUCAUAUCUAACGACCAAUUUACAGAUUCUAUACCUCCAACCGGAUCAAUAACGGUUGAUAGAGAAUUUACCAAUGCCUUGAAUGCCACUUUGCAUAUCAUAUUAAGUGAAUCUUGCGCUGGAGAUGGUGGAUUUAAGUGUUCUGACAUUGCAAAUUGUCCUGUAAGUUUUUAAAAAAGGUAGAAAAUGCUUUCUUGCAGACAAUUUUCAACUUUUCUAGGUAGCUACCCACGGUCCUGGAAGUAUUGUGCCAUCAAGCUUGCGUGUUAUCCGACCGAAUUUGGAGUACAACCUUGUACUCAAUUUAUCAGCUGCAACUCAGUCGGGCCGAGUCAUUGUUGCGUUAGGAAAAGAAUUUUGCAGCGAUUUGGCUGGGAACAAGUUCCGGAGGGGAGACAACUCGAGUGUCAUUGUGCGCUUUGGUAUGCUCUUUCAGCUAUAGUAUGAAUGUAAUUGUGGUGUUUCAUUUGCAGACAGAACUCCUGUUGAUGUUAACCUUUGGACCGGAAUCACGGAAGUUCAAGUGGUAGUCAAUAAGCAACCGCGAUCCCUGCAGGUGACCAGAGAUAUCGGCGACCUUGGGAUAUUUUUGGACUUUUCACGGCCUAUAGUCAACACGACUGAAGAGAUUCUUGGAGCCUUGAAUGUUACUGAUGGUGUUCUUCAACCAACAGAAAGAAAAAGUCACGGCAAGCGGAGAUACGGCUUUCUGGUAACUAAACUGCAUUCUUAUAUUUCGGCACUCAAAGUCUCUUUCCCCAGCUCACGAAUAUCUCGGACUCCGCCGUUGUGACAGUACAACUUCAGGGAGGCUUGCAAAGCCGUGAUGGUACUUACGUAUUGCAGUCAAACCAUGUCAGCUUCUUAUACGGUAAUCCUUUCUUGUGAAUGUAAAUGACCGUGAAGCUUGGCUCUAGAUCGUAAGAGGCCGGAGGUACUACUAUCCCCAUCGUCGUCCGUGAAAACAAGGAAACGCACUACCGGAGUCUGGAUUGAAUUUUCUGAACCGGUUUUUUUAUUUGAUUCAUCAGAUUUCAACUUGUCUGCUGGCAAAGUUACGAGGUGAGCAAAUUUAUGUUGGGUUAUCAGCUUUAAAGGUUUCCGUGUUGCAGGCUAAGCGAAAUAACUAAGAGCAAAUACUUCGCGGAGCUACUCAUUCCCGCUGACCAAGUUGUCACGGUGUUUAUAUCUGAAAACAAAACGACUGAUAUUGCCGGAAAUCCAAAUCUUGCAUCCAGCCAGCUGCAAGUACGCCAUUGUAAGUUUUUCAGUCUUUUCAGUAGAGAAAAAGUCUCUUGUUUCUGACGUGCUACUCUGUUUCUAGAUUCACCACCUGCAAUUGCAGUCGCUUCGUCUUGUUUUGUCACAGCGGGUAUACUUGCUACAUUCAUAACUUCGGGGCUGGUCUCUAUAGCCUCCACUAGUUUGGGGGGAGCUGGUGCGAUUACUAGCAGGACUGUGAGCUCUAUUGUGUCAAAUCCAUCAGGAAAUCUUCUGGUAUGUGAAUCAUGAGGAUGCCACUCUGUACUGAUGGAAUGUAUGCAGGGAAUGGCCGGACAUCUACAAGUAUUUGCGUUAUCAUAUUAUGCCUCAACGAAUUUUCCCGUUGAGUAUAGUGAAACUGUCCGGAGCAUGAAAUGGUUUAUCCCUCACGUCAAGCUUCCAUGGGAAAAGCAGCAAUCUAUUCUGAGCCAUAAGCUACAUUACCAAGCCAACAGUCCUUAUUCUUUGGAUUACUUGGAAACACGCCGAAAGCUGGGGUCCAACACAACUCUUUAUGGACCCGCGUUAAGCUCAGACGAAUAUAGGCUUUUCUUUCAGGUACAAAUGACGCUUUUGUUGCUAUCAUUUACCUGGAGGCUUUCUCACAGAUGCAACACGGAGAAUCUGUCGUUCUUGAAGGGAAAUAUAACGGGUACGUAGAAGUUCACAAGGUCAUGUAUAUAAUUAACUUCUUCGAUUCACGCUACAGAUGGAACGACUUCGGGAAGAAUAUGUUUUGGUUGGGAGUUUUCGGGGGUGGUUUCGUUCUUUUCCACCUGUUGCUACUCUAUUUUCUACGAUGGAGAACGGAGGCAACUCUCAGAGGCGCUCUUUGCGUUCCUCGCUUCGAGAUUUUUCUCCUUUACGUUGCUUUACCGUGUAUCUGUCAAGCAGCGGCCUUCAUCAUUCGGGGUAAGAAGUCUGCUGUUAUUUUUGCUUGUGCGAGUCACGAUUGCCUUGCUCAGGUGGUACAACGGGUGGGAUCAUUGUGGGAGUGUUGUUACUUGCAGUUCCAACUGGCUUCUUCCUCUCCGUGCUGAUGUUUUUGCUGGUCGCGGUCAUCUGGGGUGCAUUGGUUCAGUACAAAGAGUACAGGAGUCAGGCAGGCGGUCACGUUUGCCGGGGAGUAGUGCGUUUGCUACUCGGCGAAAGUCACAUUGGGAAGUGGGUCCGCAAGGAGGGUCUCUCGUCCAGUUUCAUCCCCAAGUUUGGCUUGCUGUUUGAGAACCGGAAAGGUCCUCCCAGGGUGGUAUAUGUGGACGAGGACUAUGGAUCAAAAUGGGUGGACAGUGAAGGCAAAGGCAUCGGCAGGAUGAAGCCCGUCAACUCCGACGAAGACAGCGUCGACAUGUCCGUCUCCAAAGCGCACAAGCUAAUAGGUGCUGCCAGAGUUUUCUACAUCAUGGCCGAUAUCGCAAGGCGUGCCACCCUGGGAAUAGUCUUUGGAGUGCAUCCUGGAAGCGAAGUCUCGUGGAGGCAGCUCUCUCUGGCGCUGGCAGUCACUCUGAUCCAGCUUCUUUACCUGGUACUUUUCAAGCCUUACAUUCGGAGGGGCGUGCAUUUGGUGGAGAGCGUGUCGCUGCUGUGCGAGCUUGCGGUUUUCAGCAUCGGGAUGGCCCUGUUACCCGACGACCACUCGUCCGACAACCGGAGAAGCCUGGGCAUCGCCAUGGUGACGCUGCUGCUGUCGAGCUUCAUGUGCCAGCUGAUAAACGAGUGGUACGCGCUCAUGGAGAAGCUGCUCAAGCUCUCGGCUCCCCAGGAGCCAUCGUUCAAGGCGGGGAUGAGGAUGCUGGGGAAAGGACUGGUUUUUCCAUUCAUCCCGCAGAGAAAGUGGCCCAAGUUCAUCACUCCUCCGCAGCAGCCGAGGAUCGGACUGGUCCCCGUGGUGCAUCUCAGCCCGUCCCCGGACUUCCAACAACGCAGCAAAGUUCUUCCCUCGAGCUCGCCGAUCUCCUUCACCGAGACGGGCGGUCCGGCCUACGAUCCAGGCUCCCCCUCGCUCGUCGAUCCUCGCAGCCUGGGCCAGCAGUCGAGGGCUUCGUCCGGCUCCGGGAGGCUCCUCCAACCAGCGGGAUCGUUCCACAAGGUUCCAGGCCAUUGGUCGAGGUCGGUGUCGUUCGAAGGCAAGAAGACGAGGCCGUCGAGGUCGGACACGAACUCGAGCGAGCUGAAAACUCUGCGCGAGCUGGCCAGGGCCAGCUUUCCAGGCUCUAAGAGGGAGGAGCAGCAGCAGAGCAGCGCCAUGGAUUCAAGCCAGAUAGGUGCCGAGGAUCAUCACGGCACGAGCUGAGCGAGCUUACCAACACACAACUUUUUUGUAACUCUACAAAGGAUUUAUUGUAAAGUGUUAUUAGUCAUUCCGUUGGAAAAUGGAGGACCAGCGCAUGUUUCGAUCCCGUGAAGAACUCGUUGUUUCUGGAAUGGCAGAAAAGGGAGAAAACAGAAAUAGAUCCUGAGCUACCUCCAUCAAACGCUGAAUGCGGCCAAGUCGAUCUAGAUGUGAUCACGCACGAUUUCCUGCGGCUUAGCAUUUCGCUUCUAACGCACUUCCAGCACUGGAGCGAGCCGAGUCUCCGUGGAUCCACUCUCUCCUUGAUCGCCUUGAGCCGCCGAGUACUUCUCCCCGAGGAAUGCGUCCUGCCAGCCUCGUUCUUGUAGCAUCCUCCGCCGGGUGUGAUGUUGCGGAGAUGAGGUAAGAAACUGGAAGAUUUGCUGCCGCUCCUCUACAGUCGUGCUGUCGUUCCAGGUCCUGGAGAGGCUAACACGCCACAGAGCCUCCCUCCAAGGCAGCGCUGCAUGGUGGUGACGCCCGAGUAGUGUCAAAACCCGGAGUUGUUCCGGGCUCUCAAAGGUGGCGGACUUUUGGCGCCAUUGUUUCCGUGACAUACUGGACUUUCCCUGGUCUUGAACUCAGCUUACGUGCAAACUCUGUUUGUUGCUGCGUCUGCCACUCGUUGGGAUCUAGUUUGUGGAAGUCACACCUUCCUUGGGUUGCUGGCUACUUCUACCUCUACACGAAAUAUCGGCAGCAUGAAAGAGAGGAUGGUGAACGAACAUAUUUGCUUCUUUUUAUGUUUCCACAAUCCCAAAUUUACCUGGAAAAUCAAAAUGCUCCUCAGAGCUUUUAUUUACUGACUCUAUUAUUCAAGCAAAGACAAAACACUACAUGAAGACUUGUGGUGGGGAUUCAUGCCAAGACUUGCCUGCUCAACUUCUACAGGAAGACCUGGAUCAAGUCUAGUGUAUGUAAAUACUUGCAAAGGCUCUUCUAAACAUUGGAGCUAUUGGAGCUAACAACAACCCAACAGAAGAGGGAAAAAAAUAAAAUAAAAAUGGAGAACAAAAGUUGUAAAAAAGAUGCAAAUUUCCAUGGAAAGAUCCCAUGCAAAGCAAACAGAAAUAUUGAAGAUUUAAUUGUGAAAAAAUUUCUAUUGGCCUGUGGCUUGAUGCCUACAAUAGAACACAAUGAUCUGGAACCACAAUGCCUAUAAUUUUCAUAAAAACCAAGCUUUAUGAAAUUUUCUGAUGCAACCAAAAGGAAACAACUUGUAUUCCUUGUAAGUAAGAUGUAAGCUACAAUCCACCACGCUUACAAUCCAUCAUGCUUUAUGUAAGUUUCCUUUAAUAUGGACUUUGGCUACUUAUAUACAUUCCUUGUAGAUAUAAAAUUUUAAAUCCACCAUGUUUCAUGCAAGCACCACACUUAUUUGCAAAUUCACUCUUUAAUUUUGACUGCCUGCAAAAUUACCUAUCCUCAAAAGACAUGUAGCUUCUAACCCUAAACUUUCAUAAUUAUAUAGCUGUCAUUGUUUUUCGUGCUCCGAAAACAAAUGUAUUACUUUUAUUUAGGGCUCUAGUCGGGGUCUAUGUGAGUGAGGUAUGUUGCGAUUUUCGAUUUCCUGCGGCUUUGCAGUUGCCUUGGACCAGAUUUUCGCUUCCAACGCACUUCCAGCACAGGAACAAGCGGGUUGGAUCCACGCUCUCCUUGAUCGCCUUGAGCGCCGAGUACUUCUCCCCGAAGAACGCGUCCUGCCAGUAUGGCUCGAAGUAGUCCGCCUCGUUCUUGUAGCACCCUCCGCCGGGCGUGAUGUUGCGAAGAAUGUCGUCGGUCGUGGUAAGAUACUGGAAGAUUUGCUGCCGCUCUUUCACAGUCGUGCUGUCGUUCCAGGUCCGGGAGAGGCUGACAUGCCACAGAGCGUCCCUCCAGACAGCGCUCAGGGAAUUGUUCCUGCCCUGGACGCUCGCUGCCGCGCCUCCAAACACGAACAAGCCGAAGAUGGGACUGAAGCUCCGCUCGAAGAGAAUUCUCACGAGGGCGUUUGUCAGCACCGCCGGUGAGUCCUGGAUGAUCGUCCUGGGCAUGAACCGCGUUGCCAGAGCCCGAGGCGCGCCUGUUAGAUCGGUGCACACUCCGGGAUUGGUCGCGCAGAGGACUCCGUCGUGCCACUGGACGAAGUUUGGAUACGAGGUGACGGUGUAGGUGAUGACGAGGAGCUGGGGAUGCCCCUCGACGUAGGAAACCAGGGGAGCAAACGCCGCCCGUGCCUCCGCGGCUGUUCCAUUCGGCAGCACGAAAGAGAGGGUGAUAUAGUUCGUGUAGAGGAAGAAGUAGCCGGCAAGCCGAGCUUCGUCCAUGGAAGGCGUGACUUCCACAAACUUGGCGAUCAGAUCUUCGUGGCUGGAGCGAGUGGCAGACGCAGCGAUGAACAGAGUCUGGACGUAGCCGAGCUGGAGAUCAGGGAAAGUCCGGUACGUCGCGGAAACAACGACGCCGAAAGUUCCUCCGCCGCCACCUUUGAGAGCCCAGAACAGGUCCGGGUUUCGGCACCGGUUGGCUACUCGGACUCGUCCAUCAGCCGUCACCACCGUGAACUCGAGAGCAUUGUCAGCAGCGUAGCCGAAAGUCCGCGACAAAGGCCCGUGGCCACCGCCUUGGACGAAGCCUCCGGCAGCACUCGGGGAGGAUCCCAUCGGCCCGACGGCAACCCGGUUCCUCUGGCGCAGAAAGUCGUAGAGGAAGUCCCAAGUAACACCAGGCUGGGCAGUCACAGCAGGGACCGGAUCACUUACUGGACAACUUUGCGGAACGAAAGAGUCGUUCGUGAAGAUGUUUGUGAGAUGGUGGAGCCAGAUGCACAGCGAGCCAGGCGCAGUGCUCCGGCCAAGCCAGUCGUGCCCGCUCGAUUUGAUCACCAGCCGCAAGUUAUACUUCUUGGCGAAGACGACUCCGGCCUGGAUGUGAGACACACUGGAAACGUUGAUGGCGUAGAUGGAGACGUCGUCUUGGUAGCAGGGACUGGAAAGAGCGCCGGUUCCAUUCAGCGGGCAGCCGAAACCGGUGAUGCCGGACUCCCAGUUCGGAUACUGCAUAGCUCCGACAACCUCGCUCCUCGCGAACGGAUUGUUUUGGAGCUGCCUAGCAGCGCUGCAAGCGACCGGAUCGUAUUGCGGAGUGUGGCACGGCCAGGCGUAUGGCUUUGGUGCGAGGAGGCGGCCAUCGAUGGAGCGAUUGAAAGCUGACCAGAUUGUGGAGCUUGGCCAGCAGGAGCUCCGAGGCGUGCAUUUGCAGCUGCUCUCUCCAUAGCUGCUAAGCAGGAGAGAGAGAAGAAUCAGAUGAAAGGACAAUUCCAUGGCUUGCUGGACUUCUCUUCCUUGUGCCUACUUAAAGCGUGUGUGGACCACAACACGAUCACUUCGGCGACGUAAGUGUCCUGCCUUUUCUUCUUUCGCUCCAAAGUCUUUCAUAACGACGCUUGGAUUUAAUCAGGUCUUGGAGUAUAUUGUCAAAUGUGAGUUUCUUUUAUGAUCUUGGCAGCAGCCAAACCCGGAAGAUAUAUUCGACCCAAAAAUUCCAAGUGAAAGGUUUGAUGCAAGUUCCACGUUGUUUUCGCUGGAUGGUAAGCUAACAUUUUCCAGACGUUUCAGCAACGCCAGCACUGUCCUGUUUCGCGUAUCGGUUUUGGCUAGCAUUUAUACUCGACUUUCCCGCGAUAGAAAUGGUAAGUCUCUUUUACUCUUGCGUAAGAACAAUUUCUAAGAAGCUCCACCUUGAACCAGGCUUUCACUUCCAACGCACUUCCAACACAAGAACAGGCCAGUCGGAUCCACGCUCUCCUUGAUGGCCUUGAGCGUCGAGUACUUCUCACCAAAGAACGACUCCUCCCAGUAUGGCUCGAAGUAAUCUCCUUCGUUCUUGUAACACCCUCCGCCAGGCGUGAUGCUUCGAAACAGACCAUUCGUGGAGGUGAGACUUCGAGAAAACUGAUAUCGCUCCUCCACACUCGUGCUCUCGUUCCAGGUCCUAACGAUAAGUACAUGCCACAGAGCCUCCCUCCAGACGGCACUCAGGGCAUUGUUCCUGCCUUGGACGCUCGAUGCUGCGCCUCCAAACACAAACAAGCCGAAGAUGGGACUGAAGUUACGUUCAAACAGAACUCGCAUGAGGGUGUCGGUCAGCACAGCUGGUGAUUCCUGGAAGAUCUUCUUGGGCAUGAACCGCGUCGCGAAAAGCCCGCUUGUGCCGGUUGCAUCGGUGCACAGUACUGGAUUGACUGCGCAGAGAACUCCGUCAUGCCACUGGACGAAAGUGUCGUGGGAAGUGACGGUGUUGUUGACGACCGAGAGCUCCGGGUUCUUAUCGACGUAAGAAACCAGGGGAGCAAACGCAGCCUGUGCUUCCGCGACUGUUCCAUUCGGCAGCACGAAAGAGAUGAUUACGAGGCUGGUGUAGAUGUAGAAGUAGCCGGCAAGCCGAGCUUCGUCCAUGGCAGGCGUGACUUCCACAAACUUGGCGACGAGAUCCCUGUGGCUCGAGGGGCUGGAAGACGCAGCGAUGAACAGUGUGUGAAGGUAGCCAAGCUUGAGCUCAGGAAAAGUCCGGUACGUCGCGGAAACCACGACACCGAAAGUCCCUCCGCCGCCACCUUUGAGAGCCCAGAACAACUCCGGGUUUUGACACUGGUUGGCUACUCGGACUCGUCCAUCAGCCGUCACCACCUUGAGCUCGAGAGUAUUGUCAACAGCGUAGCCGAAAGUUCUUGACAGAGGCCCGUGGCCACCGCCUUGGACGAAACCUCCGGCAGCACUCAGGGAGGAUGCCAUAGGCCCGACGGCGACUCGUCCUCUGGGGUCGAGGAAAUCAUAGAGAGACUUCCAAGUUACUCCAGGCUGGGCAGUCACAGCAGCGAGCGGAUCACUCCCCGGACAACUCUCGGGAACGAAGGAAUCGUCCGUGAAGAUGUCCGUGAGGUGGUGGAGCCAGAUACACAGGGAACCAGCGGCAGUGCUCCGGCCAAAGUAGUCAUGCCCGGUGGACUUGAUCACCAGCCGCAAGUUAAACUUUCGCGCGAAGAGAACUCCGGCCUGGACGUGAGAGACGCUGGAGACGUUGAUGGCGUACGCGGAGACUUGGUCCUGGUAGCAGGGAGUGGAAAGAGCGCCGCUUCCAUUCAGCGGACAGCCGAGACCAGCGAUGCCCGACUCCCAGGUUGGAGUUUGCAUGGCCCCGACCACGUCGCUUCGCGCGAAGGGAUUGUUUUGGAGCUGCCUAGCAGCGCUGCAAGCGGCCGGAUCGUAUUGCGGAGUGUGGCACGGCCAGGCGUAUGGCUUUGGUGCGAGGAGGCGGCCAUCGAUGGAGCGAUUGAAAGCCGACCAGAGUGUGGAGCUUGGCCAGCAGGAACUCCAAGGCGUGCACUUGUGGCCUCCAUCGCUGCUAAGCAGGGAGAGUGGACUUAAGAUCGAAAGGAGGAGGAGGAGGAGACGAGCAGGAUGGAAGAACUCCAUGCUCGGUAAAAACUUCCUUUGCUUCCAUUCGCUAAGUAAUGAGCAGUGUCACCCAUGCAAGCAAGCCUGACUUUGAUUGCAUGGUUAAAGUAGAACACUAACAUAUUUGAUAAACUAGUACCAAAAUGAUUAUAGUUUCAGAGUUUAAUCGAAGGACAAUACUUCCAUGAGCUUCAAAACUAGUGUUCUUGGCGAACUUUUUUUUUUUUCAGGAAGGCGAGGAGAAUGGAAGGACUCCAUGCUCGGUAAGAACUUCUUUCGCUUGUUUCUGACUUUGAUCGCACGCAUGGUUGUUCUAGAGCUUUAAUCGAAGGACAAUACUUCCAUGAGCUUCUAAACGAGUGUUCUUCAUCUUGGCGAAGAAAAAAAGCUGUUUUUUUUUCAUCCUUUCCACACGGUUUUUGUUGGUGGCGAGCUUGGCUUUCCAACUGGAUUGUCACUGUUCGCAGUGGUGCGCUUCUUUUCGGACUCGAGCAGAGCUCUGAUGUUUGCGUCGAUGCUGGAGAGCAUUUGCUUGAUAUCACCCCGGCCCUUGCCUUGGACUUCCGGAUCCUCGCAUAAGUUGUGCAUCUCGAGGAGCGUGUUUGCUAGCGCGCUUGGCACGUCUCUGUCUCUUUCCUUCUCUUUCUCCUUCGCAAAGCUCACGGAAGUGGAAGGGACUGAUCUUCUCGGAGACUUUGGAGUGGCCGGAGAGGCCGGAGAGGCCGGAGAUCGAGGGGACAUGACGAGGCCGAUUCUGGCCCUGGCACGAAAAGAUAAAGAAAAAAGUGUGAGAGAUCAUAUCGUGCAUGAGUGUUUUGCAAGGCACGGCACUGCGACUGCUUAGCUUACAUGCGUUCCGCAGUGGGAGACGUCGGCGCCUGAGAGCUUUCGUCCUUUUUACUGCUCUGAAAAAACAAAAAAAUAAACAUGAUUUCAUUCUGGACGUGAUCUUGAACGAUCAGUUUCAACAAGAAAACAAGACCAAACUUGAGAGUGGCUGAAAGGGAGAUCUAGAAACGUAUAAACAAGAACAAAAAAAUUCUAAAAGAAAGCGAAGAAAGUGAUUGUACCUUAACUGGGACUCCAGAUUUCUGAAUGACCGCAUGAACAUUGUCCAGGAGAACUUGCACAUCUUUGUCCAGAGCAUCGGUGCUUCCACCCGUGACGUUCCAGCUUUCGCGUUCCAGGUCCUUCUGUAGCUUCCUCAGCAUUUUCACCAUGGAUAUGGUUUCUCCAAGGUCGUCACCCUGGAGGCUCACUUCUGCGCAAACGAGGAGACACAAAGAACACUAUUUUUCAAUGAGGCAAGAGCUGGCUACGAAUGGAGGAAAGAAAAUAAAAGAGCAAAGACGGAAAAAGUGUUACUCGCCCCAUAGACUUCCAAGCAUCCAUCCAACCGUGGCUUUCUUGCGGAGAGCUUUCACCUCGGCCUCGAGCUUCAACUUCGCCCAGUCGUCUCUCUUUCUUCGGUAACCAGUCAGUUCUUCCUUUUUCUGGAGCUCCUGGUUUAAUUCUCGAAUCUUGCUUUCGAGUUCCUGCAACAAAGAAAACUCCACGUUCGUUAGUUUCGCGAAGAACAAAAGAACUCAAGAAAGAAAACUCUCUAAGAGGAAGGAGAAGAAGUUCCUAUCUCCCAAGAACAACCGAGAGCGCGCCAAGAACUUUACUUUGACUCGCCUGGGUUCUCCGUCGUGCAGCCCAUCGUGCUUGGAUUUUGGCCCGGGUCCGAGCGAAAAACCCAUCUCUAGCCUUUUCUUGAGCUCUUUGUUCUCCGCCUCGAGCGAGGUUUGCUUCUUCUGGAAAUCCUGCUUUUGCUUGUCAUAGACACCUUCCAUGGAUCGCAAGCACUCGGCAAGCUUGGCAUUCCUCUUCUCAUACUCGUCCGCAAUCUCCUGCCUUAUCUGGGAGAAAAAACUCUCCUCCAUGGCGAUCAGCCCAUGGCGAUCUCAUCCCACGCUCAAGAUCCCUGUCCCUGAAACGAUCGAUCAACGAAAGACGAGAAUGCGGCAGUGGCGCCACUCACCAGAUCGCCUCGCGCUUCCUUCCCGGCUGUUAACAGUGUUCUUCCGGGGCGCCAUUUAAUGCGCUAAACCCUAAUUUCCCUGGCUAGGGCAAAUAUUCGCGACUCUGGGGAGAAGCUAUGACGGAGGUAAGAUCGCUGCUUGGCUGCUCGAUUCUCGACUAGAUCUUGAAUGGAAAUCGUGUGGGCGCAGUACUGGGUGAGCCAGGGGAACAAAUGGUGCGAGUUUUGCCGGAUUUUCAUUGCAAACAAUGCCGUGAGCAUCCGAUCGCACGAGCUGGGGCUGCGGCACAAGGACAAUGUCGCGAAGAAGGUUUCGAAGAUCCACAAGGACAGCAUUAACAAGGAGAAGGAGGAGCUACGAUCGAUUAAAGAGCUGGAACACAUCGAAUCUGUAAGUCAAGGAGUUUUUCCUUUUCUUUCUGGAGCAGUGCUUUUGUGUUCGUCCCACUACUUAAGUGGUUUUUCUUUGUUUCCUUUUAGAAAGCAGUGAGGAAGUACCAGAAUGACAUUGCCGAUGGCAAUAGUUCUCUGGCGACUCCAACGCUGACGGCCUCCAAGAUUUACGAGUGUACAACAUCUGGAAGCCAACAUACUUACAGUGGCAAGAGCACAGUAGCUCAACGUUCUCAGAUCGAAGAAGCUAAGCAAGGUAGGCUUUUGAUUCUCUCCUUUUUUUCCUCGUUUUUCGUGGUUUUCUUACUGUUAAUGUUUCUCCUCCCUUGUGUAGAAUGGUUCAGUGAUUCUGCUACAGGCUACCAGUUCAAUCCAGCUACUGGUCACUACUUCGACCCGAAGUCUGGUUUUUACUAUAGCGAUGUUCUAGGUGAGGAUACGUUUUGUUCUUUCCUUUUCCAAGUCUGACUUCUUGAGUGUGCAAACAAUAGGACAAUGGACAACCGAAGCAGAAGCUCUUAAAGCAGCCAGGCUUUCCAAAUCAUCCGGUGCUACUGUUUCAAAGAAAAACCUUCCUCCUGUGCCUGGCAAACUGGGAUCGUCCAAGCCUCAACCAGCAGCCGACGUGAAGGGGAGGCCCUCGGCAUUCGCGGUCACAGCAGCAGCCGCCAACAACAACAACAACAAGAGAAAGAGAGACAACCGGAAGCAAAACUCGACCGAGGAGGCCAGAGCUCAAGCGGAGCGAGAGGCCGCCAGGAAAAGAGUCCAGGAACGUGAGAAAUCUUCGCUGGGAUUGUACCAAGCUUACUGAAACGUCACGGGUUGCGGAAGUGAGAAAACAGAGGAUGAGUAAAUCGACAGCCAGAAGCAAGCUAUUGCUUCCAAAUCGAUUGGAUCAAGCCAAGUGUAUGUAUUUUACUUUUUUUCUUCCAGGUUUACGGACUAAACUCUCAAAAAAUUUCUCAGUUGUUCCAGGUUGAUGAAAAAUAAGUUCUCGAUUCGAGUUCGCUUGUGCUUAUUUCGUGAUACACAGCUUCCCAGAAUUUGGGAGAACUCAGGUGGCGAGUGGUGGAAUCUGGACGGUUACAAUGCCGGCACGUUGCGGAAUAGCCAACGGCUGGGAUCGCCGCCUUGACUCGUACGUUUUUCCGUACGCUAAAGAGAAGCUCCCUGCUUUGAUUCCGAGUGUUUCGCGUUGGCACGAACUUUGUGUUUGAAUGGGGGAGCGACGAGGAGCUAGGGUUUGGUGCGCCUAAAGAUCUCUCGCGGCGUCAUCGCCAAUCCCAUGGCGCAGCACGGCGAGGAGCUCGCUAUGGCUUCCGAGGCCGCGAUCGAGCAGCACCAGGUAGCCGGCCUCAGCUUGCUCUUGCAGAUCGUGAUGCUGGGAUUCGCCUUCGUCCUCGGCCAUGUCCUUCGCCGCCACAAAUUCUACUAUCUCCACGAAGCCAGCGCCUCGCUGCUCAUAGGUUCGUGUGCCAGCAUUCUCAGAAUCUCUAGAUAUUUUCUCGAUAUUUUCUUCCCUCUCUCAAUUCUUGUCCAAUUAGGCAUCAUCGUGGGAGGGAUCGCCAACGUCUCAAACAAGGAGAUGAGUUUCAAGUAUGGACUGCUCUCUUGUUUGCAAAGUUUCAUUGAUCCUCGAUCGCAGGAGAUGGUUUAACUUCAACGAGGAGUUCUUUUUCUUGUUCCUUCUCCCGCCGAUCAUAUUAUAUCCUUUUUGUCAGCAUGUUCACAGUGAAAUCUAGUGAUCCUUGACACACAGAAUCACCCAGUCAGGCUUCAACCUUUAUGCUGUAAGUAGCUUUCUUCUCUACGUCAGGGAAGAAUAAAUUCUAUUGCGCUGACGACACUCGGAUGUACCAGAAACCGUUCUUUUCAAACUUUGGAGCGAUUUGCGUAUUUGCGAUUGUGGGAACUUUCGUGGCCUCCAUGGUGACAGGAAUUUUGGUGUACGUACUAUGCUUACCCGUGCUGCUUGAGUAAUUUACAUUGUGUGUUUUGCAGUUUCCUUGGAGGACUAUUUUUUCUCAUGUACAAACUCUCAUUCCUUGAAAGCUUGCUGUUCGGUUCUUUAAUUUCAGCUACCGAUCCUGUGACCGUACUUGCAAUCUUCCAAGUAUGUCCAUAGCUACUUUCUAGUUUGUCCAAACUGACUCUCUUUUCAGGAGCUCGGGACUGAUAUGAACUUGUAUGCUCUUGUCUUUGGAGAGUCUGUCUUGAAUGAUGCUGUAAGUUAGUCAGGCUUGGACCCAUUCUCUAAUGUUUCUAUCUUAUUUCUGAUUUUGCGCAGAUGGCUAUUGCGCUUUACAAGUAAGUCGUCUUCACAAAAUUUCCGGGACUUUAGUUACAGUUGAAUGCAGGACGUUAAUGAAGUUUUGGCAUGAUCCUUCCGCAAACUACAGCUUCACGGUUGCUGUUUCGAGCUUUUUGCAGACGUUCGUAGGAUCUAUGGGAACAGGUUAGUUUGCUUGAUUCGUGUCUCUGCCUUAUGCUGUUGAUUUUACAGGUGUUGUUGUCGCAUUAUGCUGCGCUUUGAUAUCCUUGGAAAUCGUUUGUUUUCUUUCUUUUUAUGUGUCAAUUCCUUGACAGCAGAACACCUAUUCAAGUACGCUGGGCUUUCUGUCAACAGGUAGUAUACUUGUUGAACAGAUAUACAUUCUAAAUAUUGGGCUUUUGUGCUGCAGCCUUCAUAAUCUGGAAUGCUGUCUGUUCGUCCUUUUCCCGUACUUUUCGUAAGUUUUUUUUCCAGCAUUACACAAGAUCCUAUGCUUGUUUUCCAGGUUCAUGCUAGCGGAAGGGCUUGGACUUUCGGGAAUCAUAGCCAUUCUCUUUUGUGGCAUUGUGAGUUUGUGGUCUUUAGGUUUCACCUCUAAUGCCUUCUAGCAGCUCAUGAAGCAUUAUGCGUUUCAAAACCUGUCUGAACCUGCUCAAGCUUUUACGCGAGGAUUUUUCCAAUUAAUCUCGUCUUUGGCAGAAACAUUUUUGUGAGUCCUCCUUAUAUUUCUCCGAGUUUUACCCUUAAUUUCAGGUUCAUCUACAUGGGCCUGGAUAUUGCGACCGAAAGUCAUACCUGGUCUCACGUGGGAUUCAUCUUUUUCUCUAUUGUAUCCUUUCUCGUUUUGCUAUUUAUUCUUGGACGUGUUCCUUGACUGAGAGGGCACCUGCAGGUGUUUAUCCUGGCAGCAAGGUAUUUCUCGUGGAAGAUUUUACAUUGCUAAUGCUAUUGUUUUUCCAGAGCAGCUAACGUGUUUCCUUGCGCAUACUUGAUCAACUUGAUCCGGCCUGUUGCAAGGAAAAUACCUCUCAAGCAUCAGAAGGCCCUUUGGUUUAGCGGUACGGAGCUGUUAAGCACGGCAAUUGUGAUCUUAACUGAUGGUUUUUAUUGAUAGGCUUGCGAGGCGCCAUGGCGUUCGGGUUGGCUUUGCAGAGCAAGCGUGAUUUACCAACAAAAUCUAAUGGUGAGACGAUAUUCACCACUACAACAGCUAUUGUCGUUGUCACGGUAUGUAUAUUUCGCGUUUUCCUACGAAAUUCAGCAAUCUUCAUAGGUCCUCUUCAUUGGAGGCUCAACAUCAACAAUGCUGGAAAAGCUGGAAGUCGUUGGGGAUGAUUAUGCGGCUCUAAAUGUAGAGGUGAGCUGCCUUUCACUAUUUAGAUUGGAAGAAAGGGCCUCUUUUAUGCGCAGAUUGGAAACGACAAUAAUUUGGAGCUUCAUAGCCCGACAAGCUCGAGAUAUCUAACGUAAGGAAAGACUGUUACUUCCCUAUAGUUUGUGCUGACCAUUUUCUUUCACAGCUCGCCUUUCACAGCCUUCGACAAAAACUUUCUCAAGCCAAUUUUCACGAGCCACGUUGAUGAUGAGGACUUUGGUCUUUUUGACGCUGGUAAGGCACAAUCUCUGCUAUCGCCGGUCACGCUAAGAAGAAUUUACUCUUGUGGACAGUGGACCAGAAUCACUCUUCCGACAAUCAGGCGGUAGAAAUUCAGAGAUCUCUCAUACGACGAACAGAGAACGAGGAUCGCCAUUCGGAGAACGGUAGAAGCACAAAAGCCAUAAGAGACACUGGACGAUUUAGAAGCUUUUAAAGAACGUGUAAUACCAAAUACCUUGUAACCAUUUCCUCUGUGAAGGGACGAAAAGUUGACGGAGAUUGGUAUGCUAGGGGUUUCCUUGAUAAAUACACACUUGAAGUGCCUUGUACAUAUACUUUGAUGCUUUCCUUUAUCUUACCGAGAGUAUGCAAGCCGUUUAGUUUCGUCUAGGCUCUCAUCCCGCGGGAUCGUCUGACGUGCGAGCCGAGUCGGUUUCCAAUCCAUUGGCGUGAACAUAAACUGUAGAGAACUUAAUUCUGCCAGCAUUUUCCUUGCUUUUUCUUUCUUCAUACUUGUAAAAAGCCGAAGAAGAAGAAGUAGCAGCCUUGCCUUACAAAGGGCUUCAACAUCUCGGCUCUACUGAGAAACGAGUGCAAAACUACGCCAUCGGGGAAAUCUCCCAUCUCCCUGUUAUCUCUCCCUUUUGACGUCAAAUGGCGAGCGACAAAAGAAAACAUAGAAUAGCAAGAGUUUCUUGAGAAGAUGUUGCCAAUGCCCGGACACAGCGCAUAGACGCCGGCAGAUGAAGCUCAAGUUGCUGCUUUAAGACUUAGAAAACUCUUCGAAGGAAAGAGCGCACAUAACUGGGUGCUUUCGUCACCCUGUCGCAAAAACGUUUUCUACAAGAAGAAACACUGUCAUGAAGAACAAGUUACACCUUUCCAACAGCAAUCCACUUUAGGACAGCCGGUCCCAUGAUCGAGGCAAGAAAAGACUUUGUGCUUCUGACAGAAAUUCUUCAACCUAGAGAAACUCUACAAACUCUAGAGCAAGAAGUCAGCCAAUCAAGGCAGGAAAGAAAGGAAAAAAACCGCUAGUAACGACUAGAAAAGCUGGAUCCAAAGAGAACCAAGUCUGGUGAUGGCUGCACGCGAAGCAUACUCUGCUAUAACUAAGCUUUCUUUUGCUAGAUUGUGGAAGAAAAUAUCAAUGCAAUCAAGCCAUUCAUUGAUGAGCAGGAAGGAUCAAAAGAUUUACCUGCUGUUGUUAAAGCUCCAAAUCGUUGUAUUUCCUCCUGGUAGAUGACUCCGGAAAUUUAUUUGCCCACUCGACCAUUUGUGGAGGUGCUCGAGUGGGAAGAUAGAGAUAGCUUGACUAGUACAAAAAAAAAGUAAGACUAGCAACGAUUUAAACAUUAGAUUAAGCAUAAUUAGCAUACUCAACCACUCCAAAGCAGAUUUAUAAUUAAUAAUAUAUUUUAUGCUAUUAAAUUUUUUAAUAUUAUUCUACAAUAAAGAAAAAUUAAGAGUGACAUAUUAAAUAUAAGUAAUUUAUAGGCAAGAAAGAAAAUAAUUGGUCAAAUUUUCAUAUGUAUAUGUUUAUCAUUUUUAUUUCCAACAACUAUCAUUAAUAUAGACAUCCGAAUCUGAUGCUAAAUAAUUUUUAUUUUAAUUUAUAAUGCCUUAUCGUCAUGAUAUUUCCAUUACCAUAAUAUUUUAUAAUUUUAUUAUAAUUAAAAAUAUUUUUUGCUUAAUUCCAUAACCUACAUUCUUCAAAUAAAAUAUAAUUCAAAAUCACUUAAAAAACAUUUCAACUCAGAAAAACUCUAUUUUCAUUCUUGGCCUAUAACCUCUCAACUCCUUUAUAUAUAUAUUUGAAGUAGCAAUCAGUAUAAAUGUUAAAAGUAAAUAAAUUUUUUUGUCACUCAUUAUUAUUAAUUCUUUUAGAAAUUAGUGAAAUUUUUUCAUUAUUUAUAAUAUAUUUAUUCCAAUUUAUACAAAUUAAUUUUUUUUGUCCGGGUGCGGGUAGUCCGCAUCUUCGCAGACAUGUUUAUUUCACCGUAGUUACUUCUUUAAAUGCUAAAUAAAACUAUUAAAAUAUAAAUAAAUCAUAAUUUACACUAAAUUUAUUAUACCAUCUUAUUAUAUUUUAAUUUAAUUUAUUUAAUAUAAUUCAAUAAGAAAUAUUCAAGAGCUAGGCUAAAUUUAUUUUGUUAGAGUAAAUAUUUUGAAUUAAUGAAAACACUCUUGCAACUACAAUUAGAUUUAACUUUCCUUUUCUAUUAUUUAUUUUAUUGCAUUAUUUAUAAAUAUAUUAAUAAAGUUUAAUUUAAUUUAAUUUAAACUAAAAAUAUUCAAAUAAUCAGAAACUAAUCCCUUACAAGUAAAAAACAUUGAAUAUAUUAGAAAUAAUUGAAUUGGUAGCUUCCAGAUGCAAGUGUUGCUUGUUCUGCAAUGUCAGUCCAACUUUACCUGUAUUGGGCAUUUCUUUUGGUUUUUUCUUUCUUUUUUCUUUAAUUUACUUUGGAACCCUCGUAGCUAAAUACACGUUUGGCAUUCUUGAAGCUGGCAGCUGAGAGCUCGUCUUUCGAGAGGCCCUUGAGUUGAGACACCCAUGAAAGCACCUGAAAACAUAUAUACAUAGACAUGGCCUGUGAUGUUUUCCUUGCUCUUACCGAGAGUAUGUUGGCAGGAUGGUUUAGAGCUUUCGACUUUGCAAGCUCCUCCAGGCUCUCGUCGGCUGGAGAUCCCGCAGGAUCGUCUGGGAUCCACGAGAGCAUGCUGGAAUCCACAACAGGGAGCGCGUCGGGAGCGUCUGUUUCCAGAAGAAUUCGAUCCAUUGGCACCUGAGCUCGAGGUAAGCAUAAACAUGUAGAAGAACAUGGCUUAUAGAGAACUUACUUCUGCUAGCAUUUUCCUUGCUUUUUGUUCCUUCAUGCUCGUUAGAAAGCCGGAGAAGGAAAAGUAGCAGCCGUGCCUUGCAAAGGGCUUCACCAUCUCGGCUGUACCGAGAAACGAGUGCAAAAUGACGCCGUCGGGGAAAUCGCCCAUCUCCCUGUUUUGACGUAUGAUAGCUCAACGUAGAGAAGCAAACGGCGAGGGAGAAAAGAAAAGAAUUCUUACUUGAGAAGAUGCUGAAGCUGUCCGAAUGCCCGGACGCAGUGCACAGACACCGGCCGAUGAAUUUCUCGAGCUAGCUCAAGUUGCUGCUUUAAAACUUCAAUCUGGUUUCACCAGAUUCUAAGAAACAAGAAAAGUCUUCGAAGGAAAGAGCGCACCUGAGUGCUUUCGUCAGUUUGCUUUCCACGGGUUCCCAUGUCAAGCCCCACCUUGACAAGCCGGCAAACGUUUUCUACAAGGAAAAACAUUGUCAUCAAGAACAAGUUAUACCUCCCCCACAGCAGCGGAAGGAUCCGAAGAAAGCAUCGACUUUAGAUUUGACAGCCAGUCCGAUGAUCGAGAGCUGACAUACCUGCGAACGCCAAGCAAGAAAUUUUUUUGAUACCACUUCACGAAGAACAGUGUGCUUUUUUAGAACUCGACAGAAUUCUUCUAAAACUUUAGAGCAAGCAGUCAGCAAAGAAUAAGGCAAGAAAGAAAGCUCAGCAGUGGCUAGAAUUUUCGCUCCACAGAGAGAAUCUAAAGAAGAAUACCAUGGAUGGAGGCCAUAGUUUGGAACCACGGAUGAGUGGCUCUCGCCCAGCGUCUUGACUGUCGUCCAAUCCUCCUAGAAAUGAACAGGUUCUUAUCCAACAAGGAGAAACUAGAGAUGGAUUUACCUCGGAGGUGCCAUUCACCGCAAACCAGCGCACUCCGGCGUCCGCGGCAGAUUGGAUGAGCUGCGGCACACAGUGCGCCACUCGCGGAUCAUGCAAGUGGCAGUGCGCGUCAAAGAGCGGCAUUUUCUUCGCUCUAAUAACCUAAACAAAAACUAGUUCUUGACGUGCUAUCAUCAGCUCAUUCGGUGAUUCACCUAAAGGUGGCAAAAUUCUCAAAGAGAUCCUCCUCACAAAAUCUAUACUACCGUAACAACACGCAGGGCAGCCAAUUUCAUGUCCCGAGCCUUUGCAAGUUCCGUUCGCGUCUUCCUCGCGCGGGGCGCACAGUCACGAAGGGAUUUCGAUACCUCGAAGGAAGAUUUCUUUCAAAGAAUUUAUCCGCUCUUUAUUCUGCUGUCAUCGGUCUGUUCUCUAACAAAAAUGAAGCUUGCUGCGAGCAGCCGUGUGCUGUAGUGUGUGAUCCUCCCCUCUCUUUCUUUCAGGUUCUUAGCGUUCAAGGCUUGAAUGGAGCGAAGACAACGACGGAAUUGUGUCCACCGAAUCCAAACGAGUUCGAAAUAGCUGCACAAAAUUUGAACGUGAGCACACUAGCUUCGAGAGAGAGAAACGCAAAUUGCGACUCACCAACGUUUACUUCGUGCUGUUUCUUCACGUUUGCGACGCGAUCAAAUGGCACGGAGGGCUCUGGGUCCUAGACAAAGGAGAAAAACGAGGCAGUGUUUAACUUAAGUAGCAGCAAAAGCUUACGAAUUGGUUGAUUGAAGGAUGGAGCCAGCCAGUGGUAAUGGCUUUGAUCACGGCAAUCGCCUCCAGUCCACCAGCGGCCCCGAGACAGUGGCCGAUCAUAGACUGCAUCAAAUAGAUUUUUGAUAACGUAUCUGCAAGAAUACGAUAUGCUACUAACCUUUGUUGCAUUUAUCUUUAUGUCGCUGGAUUCGCUGAAGACCUUCUUGAUGGCAUUGAUCUCGGCCAAGUCGCCGACCACCGUUGAAGUAGCAUGAGCGUUGAUGUAAUUUACCUGGACAAAGUCGCAGGCGACAAAAAAAUGGCGAAAUGUCUUUAUAAGAAACAAAAAAGAAAUGUCUUUUACCUCCUCGGGAGAAACUCCGGCAUCUUCGAGGCUUUUCGAGAUGCAAGUUGACACGCCCAGACCAUCCGCCCGAGGAUCUGUCAUGUGGUGAGCGUCGCAAGUUACCGCACCACCAAGAUACUCGCCAUAGAUUGGCGCUCCACGCUUCAUGGCAUGCUCUAGGCUCUCCAUCACCUGCAAAGAGAGCUUAUAAUCGAUCACCGAGUACAGAAAGCAUCACGGAACUUACCAAAACUCCAGAGCCUUCACCCAUGACAAAUCCUUCUCGGCCUUUGUCCCACGGUCUCGACGCGGUCUGUGGAUCGGAGUUGCGUUGCGACAACGCUCUGCAUGCGACAAAGCCACCCAAGCCGACUGGAAUGAUCGCUGCUUCGGUGCCUCCGGCCACCAUCACGUCAGCUUCACCUCUACGAAUGGAGUUUGCUGCCGCAUAGAAGCAGUAAUUCGAGGUGGCACAGGCAGUAGAAAUCGAGUAGUUUGGCCCCAUAAGUCCCAGCUCUAUAGCCAGCAAUGCCGAUGCCAUGUUGGUAAUCGAGUAAGGAAUGAAAAACGGAGUGAUCCGUCUAUAUCCCUUCUCGAUCAGCGACUGGACUCCAUCAGAGAAAACUGAGAGCCCUCCCAUUCCGGAGCCAAUGAGUACGCCCACUCUUUGCUUGUCAACCUGGUAAGAAAAAUUGCUCCUUUAGAAAACAAGAACAAAAGAGAGAGGUUUGCUACCUUAUCGAGCUUGUCUCCUCCAAGAUCAGCGUGCUCCAGAGCUCUCUUUCCACCAACAAUUCCAUACCUGAGGCAGUCAUCCAGCCGGCGAUCGUUCUUGCCAUCAAUGUAGCCUUUCGCCGAGAAGUCACGAAUCUGUGCCGCAAACUUGGUAGGGAACUGGGAGGCAUCGAAGCGAUCGAUCAGCCCGACUCCACUCUGCCCAUCCAGGAGCUUGUCGUAGUACGUGUCCACAUCGUUUCCAAACACCGAGACGAGUCCCAUUCCCGUGAUCACCACCCUCUUCUUGGGAUCGGUCUCGCGCUUUGGAGCCGCGGCGGUGGCCGCCGACGCCAUGGCACGGCAUUUUCUAGCGCGGCCUGGCAGUGGGGAUCGAUCAAAAGCCCGAAAUUUCCAGGGAAAAGCGCAUGCAUUGCAUGAAGAACUCACCAAUCUUGAGGCGACCCGCGGGCGGCAGCGGGGAAUUCGAAGAAGCUCCUCCUCCUCCUCCAAGCGCGGCGAGAUCGCGAGCUGGGACGAGCUCCGACUGGGCGAGGAAUGCCGACGCCGCUGGUGCGUGGGGAGCCAUCGCCAUGACCGCCUAGGGUAUGAGCGCCUCGACGAGGAGAAAGAGUGGCGAGGCCCCGGGCUUUAGACGCAGCAUGUAACAGCGGCCUCGAUGGCCCGGCGUUAUAGUCAAACCCCAUCCGUCCACGUGUCCUUGGAAAGCUUGGAAUGGCAUCGUUUGAUUCUAUUUUAUUUUAUUUAAAAAAGCAUUAUAAUUAGCAAUUCUCACCAAAUGCUUUUAUUUUCUAGGAAUUUUGGCUUGUAAUUUCCACUUUUAAUCACUGGUGCUCCUCAUCCUGGACAGUGCCGGCCAGCGUUGCAACCAUGCUGUUGAUCUCGUUCAAGCAUAUUGAGGCAGCAGUAAUAUCAUAAGCUUGGGUAGUCUUCAGCGAAUGUAGCAAUGAUCUAAAUGACAAGAACAUACACUUGUAUCAUCGCUCCAAAGAAACGACUCAGCAACAAAGCAAAAGAAAUAAAUUGAGCAUCAAGGAACUUGCUUCUCAUCGUCUGGAAACGCAUAGUUGUCCAUGACACGCAAGGAUGCCUUCAGCUGCCUCAAUGAUAGAGAUGGUACCUUCUUGAGAAAAGAAGAAACUGAAAAUGAAGCAAAAGAGAAUAGACAAACUUACACUCGUCAUUGUCGCUGGGAUCCAUAGGAGAUUUGCACAAUCGACUGGACAGAGUUUCUGGUGCUGAAGAGCUUCUAGGGACAUGCGCCUUUGAUGAUCUUCACAGGACGCAGAUGCCAAAGAAGACAGUCCUGGGAGACAAAGAUUGAGGUAACAAUAAAAACAAGAAAAAUAUCCUUGUAAGUAAUAAACUUAAGCAUUCCUUUGCAGUUAAAGCACCAUACAUCAUGCCUGAGUUUGUAAGGGUAGUCAAUAAGAAAAUUAGUGAAGUACCUGACUUAUAGCUCCAGUGUGCUAUGUGAUUGACUACAGGUUUUUUUCCCCAUGGAACGAGUGAGCGUCAAGGUAAUUGGUGUCACUAGAUGAUAGGAAUUCUGGUUUGCAUCGCUUGCAAGAGAGAACCAUUCUUUUCUCAAACCUUCUGUGUGCAUUGAUUUUUUAGACAAGGCGAGUGCAGACAUUUUUGCUCCCACGUGCCUAACCUCCUCGUUACUACUCAAGCUUGUGAGAAGAUCGAGCGUGUCUAGAAAUGUGGUGGGAGCCUCAAACACCCUCACAACCUUCGUAUCUAUAGUGAAUGGUUUAGCUGAGAAUAAGAAAAAAAGCUCACCAAUUGAUUCGAAUCCAUGAGCCUCAAAGUUUGAUCAAUCCAUUCUCCUGAUGGAAAAAAAAACCUUCGAUAGCCAAAGAAGCACAUACAACCAUAUGUUUCAAUCUAGAAGACGAAAAGGCUAGACAUGGAAAAUGUGUCCAUCUGCAGAAGCAGCAUGAGUGUUUGGAGAGUUCAGCAAUGUCGGAUUUAGGGUUUUAAAGGGUAUAAUGGCAUAUUCAUUUUUAAAUCUCGCAUUCGCCAUCAUCAAACUCCAGUUGUAAAACUUGAUUGAAUCAGUGAAGCUGGAGGAAACUUGGCCAUGACAAGCUCACCAGCCAUUAUGAAAACCCUAAAUAUACUCACCUACAGUAUAUAGGUAAUUUAAAAUUAGUUCAUCUUUUACCUUUUUCUCCGAAAAUGUUAGUAUUUAAGAUAUUGUAAUAUUUACCUUCAAAUAAACUUCAAAUAAACUAAAGUAAGCUAUAAAUCAAAGUACAACAACAUCUCGAAUAGUAAUUUUUAAUCCAUUUGAUUUCUCCUAAUCUCCCCUUCCUCAAAAUCCAAAGACCACUCUGGUAAUGUAUCCACAAGAUCUUCCUCUUUCUCCUCCCUCAAUGCAGCAUAUGUGAUUCUUGGUAAGACCCAGAACCAGCCUUCUCUUUUCAUAUAUAUAUAUAUAUACAUGUUCAUGCUAAUCUUAUUGUGCCCAAAUGAAGUCGUCUAAUUGAUUUUAACUCUCUUCACCUUGUCUUCUUGAGUUCUGAUGUGUUCCAUUUGGCAUAAGAACCAUGCCACAGUCUUCAGCAAAGCCAUUGAGAUGAGCACUAUUGAGGUAGUUCUAGUAUCUGAGCAAUUACCAAAAUGCUGUGCAGUGUAAUUGCGUUCGUACAUGUAACGAGAUCAGGAAAUUGCCCAAGGACGCGCAUCCGCAUAGCCAGGAAGAACAACCAUCCAAAAUAAGAUUAUGUAGAGGUCUUCUGUAUGUAUAUUUUACCUGAGGAAAAUUUGGUCACCAUAGAUUAAUAAUGAAAGAGAGGUAGAUUUGGGUCCCAUCCUUCACUUUGGCAAUGAGACCUUAUCCCUCUUGAAGGAAGGAAACAGAAGAGUUAGCUGCUACAAGUUUCACAAACUCUCAUUGUUUCUUACGUUAAAACAUGGCUCCACACUAUGCCUAAAGUUGGCUUCUUUUGUUGAUGGUUGUAGCUCAUUGGUUUCAAGAACAUCAUUCAGCACAUUACAUUACAAAUCCACGGAUCAACCCACGGAAGGAAGCAAAGAAUUUUUCAGGUUUGGUUUCUGUAAAAAGUUGCCUGGUAGCUACUUGGUCGUAAAUCUGAUCGUCCAAUGUGAGCUGCCAGGAAAUCUUGUUUAGAAGCUUCUCAUUCCUGAAGGACUUUGUUAAUAGGAAACUUGGAAGAAGCAGACACUCUGGAAUGAAAAGCCUGUCCCAGCAAAGUGUGAAGGUUGAGACGACAGGUUCUGAUCGCUGCGAUGGAUUCGAACAGCCAAGUCUGGAAGAAAACUGACAGGCAAGCUUAGAUUCCAGAGAAGUUUGUCUCUCUGCCACAUUGACACCUUUUGUCCGGUGUUCACAACAAGAACAAGAAAAUGGGAGAGAAGCAAUCGGCGUGGCCUGCAAGAACAAGAACUACUAGUGCUUCCCGUGACCUUGAUGAAUCAUCGUGUCUAUUAUAGAGAUCGCACCGCAGCUUUUGGGGAAGUUACUGCUAAUCCAUUCGAUCGAUCUCUGGGAGUGCUGCUUUUGCACAUGGCAAAUGCACGCGAAGAGCUCGCUCGUCAUCAUCAGCAUCGUCUAAGAUCCGCACGGAUUAAAAAAGAGCAACAGUACAUUACAAAGGGGUCUAUAAUAUAUAGACAUAGACAAUCUGAUUGAAAACAUGAGCUAUAGAGCGAUAAAUAUAUGACACUUCCCAGGCCAUGCGCAGGGCUUUGUCUCUUGCAUGCCCAAAGCCUGCAAAGCAGUGGUGAUACCUUUGGAAACAUUAGCCAGCUUAAAGGAAGAAAACCUAAUCUUUUAUACAAAAGGUGGUGGAGGUUAAAAAGUAAUGUGGGGUUUUUAGUUUUGGAGGCUGCCAUCAUCAAACCGUGUCAAUCGACAAACUCCCACCGCAUGACGCUGACCUCUGCCUCGAAUUCAAUCAUACUACCACUUCAAGAAAUUCUUUUUCAUUCUUUUCUUUUCUCCUUCCUUUGCUGCUACCAGUUUUUGCCUUUCUUGGCCUACCACAGCGCUGUACCACACUGCAAUUUACUAAAUUUUUUCUAGAUAUAUUUAAAUCUAUGAAUAAAAAGUUAAUAAAUCUAUGCUGUACCGCUCCUGGCUAAGUACCUUUACAAGUAUCUCAUGCUUCAAGGACGAAUAUAAACUGACCAUGAUCAAUUGCUGAAUUAGUCAUAAAAAUAUAAUCACAUAUUGAUAAUAAUAAUAAUAUGGAAGUGAUCCACAGCGCAGGACAGAAAACAGCGUUCGUUUCAUUCACUUCCAGGCUCUCUCUGAAAUCCAGGAAACCACCGAAGGAAGAGAAACGGAGAGGAGGGCGUAACAAAAGCCAGCAAACUGGAUGGGAAGGUACCUGUUUUGUCGAGAAAAGUAUAAUAAGUAACCACCAGCACGAAGUUCAUCCAUCUCUUCUGGGAAACCAAGAAAGAAACAAGCUCGAUUCAUCGAUCGACUGGAUGAAGUGGGGAGAGAGAAAGUAUCCAGGCCUGUGUGAUGUCAUCCGCGGGCUACCUGGUAAAUCCCCAGAGAUCAACAUCAUACGAGUAAUCUGGCUGUUGCAGCUGCUGCCCCCUGUUCAUGCGUUCCACCAGACUGUCCAAGUUGCCCAGCCGUGAUUCUUUGGAGAACUCGUCCUCGUGAACUCCAGCCACUUGGGAGGAGAGCAUUCUCUCGGGAUCCUCCCAGGAUGGCGGCACCAUUUCGUCGCUGAAACCAUGAAAGCUAGUCUCUGCCGGGGCCUGUGUUCCGCCGCCACUAAACGUCUUGUGGACCAGUUCUUCUAGCUCGUUGUCGAUGUAGGAGGAAGCUUUGAUCAAAUCGUGGUGGUGCUCAUGAUCUUCCGGAGGAGGAUUGUAGCUCAUGGGGCUUGCUCUCUUGGGGCUCUCGAGGUGCGGCAGCGAGUGAUCAAACGCAAAUGGGAAGUAGAUACCGGCGCUCUCCAACUCUUGCUUGACAAAACUGCUGUUGCUGCUAUACAUCUUGUCCAUAUUUUCUUCCGGAUCGUAGCAGCAGGCCCCGUCGAAGUCACUGCUCGGCUUCUUGACAACGUUGCGUUUCCUGAAAACUCGGCAGACCACCCAGCCUUCUUCCUGCCAUUGCAAAAUAAGAGUGAGAGAAGCGAUCACACAAUUGACACAGUGAAUCAUAUCUAAAGUUUCUUCUUCUCUCUCUCUCUCUCAUUUUUUUUAGCUUACGUUUGUUGCAGUGUUGUUGAUAUCAUCCUCCAGGCGAUACUCGUGCAUUAUCCAGUCCGAUUUCUGCCCGUUUGGAGCUCGACCUUUGUAGAAAACCAGCGUCUUCCUCAUGCCGAUCAAUUUGGAGACGCGAGCAAAGAUUGGCUUGUCUCGCCCAGUGGCCUUCCAAAAUCCUGCACCGGUGGCUCUGUUGGUCCUCGUCCCGGUCGGGUAUUUCUUGUCUUUGUGGCUGAAGAAGUACCACUCGUGCUGCUCCGCGGAGCCAAUUCGGCACCGUUCUGUGUGUGGCAAACGCAAUUCAUCGAUGGCAGUGAGAGAAGAGACAUUUAGAACGCAAAGACUUCCAAAGAACGGUUUUUUUUUUCCGAAAUGAGAAGCUUGAGGGAUGACCGUCUUACCUUGAAGAUCCCAUGGCUCCAGCUUGUACAAGUCGAUCUCGCGGAUGACAUCCAAAUCAAUUUUGCUCGCGGCCACUUUCUUGGCCAAGUAGUAACCCACGAGUUCUUCGUCGGUGGGAUGAAAUCGAAAGCCAGGAGGAACAGAAGAAGUUCCACUGAGUUGGAUGCUUGAUGACAUAUCUGCAAGAGAAAAAAAGAUGAAAACUUGGGUAUAUCCAUGAGAAGUUCGAGGGAGACUAGCCUUUCUGGACAGAUUUGUUGCCCUCCAUUUUAAUUCCAAUCAAUGAAGCACAAGAAAUCGAUCGGUUGACCCAGCUUUCAUGCAGUAGACGAUUCCACAAAGUUUAUAAAAAUCGGCGAGAGCGAGAGAUUGGAUCCUAGAAGUCGAAGAAGGUAAGAAUUCCGGGAGAGAAGAACUCGUCCUUGCGUGCGUUGUAUAGCUUGUGAAUUGGCCUUCGAGAGGGAAAUGAGAGUGAUCGCUUGAUCCCAAAGAUUGUGGCGCCACGCAUGCGAAGAAAAACUAAUGUGUGCUGAGCUGAGCACGACCCAAAGAAUGAACGAGCUAAACUUGACGGUAGUUGCAACGCCAAGCACGGCGAGAAAAAGAAACACAAGGGGUCGCCACGCUCACUCGACGAUCCAAGUUUAAAAUCCCAGAAAAAGGAACAAAUCAAAAGAAAAAAAUGGCCGAAAUGAAUGCUCGUCGAUCAAAAGAGAAAGAACCACGAAGAACCAAGAACGAAACCAAACGAGAACGAAAGAAAAAAUCAAAAGAACCUUGGGAUGAAAUGCGAUUGAUCGAGCGAGAGCCUGGACAAAAAUCAACACGAAACGAGCGCGAAGAACAUUAUAAGAAGGUAUCGGCGAUGGCGGAAAGGGGUGAACGGUGGACGGCGAAGCAAUGAG
rnacentral:lncRNA from 1 species